rnacentral:rRNA from 1 species
UACGGGGGGGGGCAAGCGUUGUUCGGAAUUACUGGGCGUAAAGGGCUCGUAGGCGGCCAACUAAGUCAGACGUGAAAUCCCUCGGCUUAACCGGGGAACUGCGUCUGAUACUGGAUGGCUUGAAUCCGGGAGAGGGAUGCGGAAUUCCAGGUGUAGCGGUGAAAUGCGUAGAUAUCUGGAGGAACACCGGUGGCGAAGGCGGCAUCCUGGACCGGCAUUGACGCUGAGGAGCGAAAGCCAGGGGAGCAAACAGG